GACGAACGCUGGCGGCGUGCUUAACACAUGCAAGUCGAACGAGGCUCCUUCUUCGGUUGGGGUUCUAGUGGCGAACGGGUGAGUAACACGUGGGCAACCUGCCCCUGGCUCUGGGAUAACUCCAAGAAAUUGGGGCUAAUACCGGAUAUGACCGCUGAUCGCACGGUCUGGUGGUGGAAAGAUUUAUCGGCUGGGGAUGGGCCCGCGGCCUAUCAGCUUGUUGGUGGGGUAGUGGCCUACCAAGGCGACGACGGGUAGCCGGCCUGAGAGGGUGACCGGCCACACUGGGACUGAGACACGGCCCAGACUCCUACGGGAGGCAGCAGUGGGGAAUAUUGCGCAAUGGGCGAAAGCCUGACGCAGCGACGCCGCGUGGGGAUGACGGCCU
rnacentral:rRNA from 1 species